GCCUCUUAUUGUGACCCUCGACAGAGGAGAGGGCACGGUUGAAUGUUCAAAUUUUUAUGAUCAGCUCAACCGUGCCCUCUCCUCCUUUGCCUAGGGUCACAUCGAGAAUCAAAAUCUGAGUCAUCUGUAUCGUAGUUGAGAUUGUUCGGCUCAACGUCUGAGAUGCUAAGAAGGU